rnacentral:lncRNA from 1 species
ACUCAUUUUCUUUUUUGUAAUUUAAAUUUAUUUAUUUGUUUGUUACAUUAAAAUACCCAGGUAACUCUCUCUCUCUCUCUCUCUCUCUCUCUCUCUCUCUCUCUCUCUCUCUCUCUCUCUCUCUCUCUCUCUCUCUCUCUCUCUCUUUCUCCCUAAGACUCCCUACUAUCUCCUAAAAAGGAAUUGAUAAGAUAUUAAAUUAGGACAUUGAAUAGAUACUAAAUAGCCUAAGAAAAACAAAUAAGAAUAUUGACUAAAAUAAGAGACAGAGAGGCACACAUACACAUGUCUUUACUAAUAUCUUAAGUGAAGAACUGACUGAACAUAAUAACAAUAAAAGCACCACUAAUUAUUGAUAUCAAAAUGAUUGACAUACAUUUUCUCAUUUCAGCCUCACAACAAUCCUGGGAAGAAAGACUACAGAAAAUAUUAUCCCCUUUGAAAAAGUGGGGACACCAAGACUCUGAGAAACUCAGAAAAAGUGCUCUCUUGAUGUACAGAAUUACUUCAAACAAAACAUUUUAAGAUUAUUGAAUUGGGAGAAAGUAUAUGUCAGCAUCUCCUAUCCUCCAGUAAGACCCAAGAGUUGGAAAGGACCUCAGAGAGCAUCUAAUUCUGUAAUUUCUUUAUUCUUUAAUUUUACACUUAGGGGAAUGGAGGCUUAGGGAGAUGAGAUGAUUUGCU